UACAGAGGGUGCGAGCGUUAAUCGGAAUUACUGGGCGUAAAGCGCGCGUAGGCGGCUUUGUAAGUUAGAGGUGAAAGCCCGGGGCUCAACCCCGGAACUGCCUUUAAGACUGCAUCGCUUGAAUCCGGGAGAGGGUAGUGGAAUUCCCGGUGUAGCGGUGAAAUGCGUAGAUAUCGGGAGGAACAUCAGUGGCGAAGGCGGCUACCUGGCCCAAUACUGACACUCAGGUGCGACAGCGUGGGGAGCAAACAGG
rnacentral:rRNA from 1 species